GACCGUGCGAAGGUAGCAUAAUCAUUAGUCUUUUAAUUAAAGGCUGGAAUGAAUGGUUUGACAAGAAAUUAACUGUCUUAUAAAUUAAAAUUGAAGUUGACUUUUAAGUGAAGAGGCUUAAAUUUUUCUUAAAGACGAUAAGACCCUAUAAAACUUUACAUUGACUUAAAUUGAUUUAAAAUUAGUUAUUUAACUUUAUUAUUUUAACAUGUGUUUCGUUGGGGUGACGAAAGUAUAAAUUUAACUGCUUUAUUUUUUAAACAAUUAUAUUUGAUAGGUAGUUGAUCCUUUAGUAGAGAUUAUAGAAAAGUUACUUUAGGGAUAACAGCGUUAUUUUUUUUGAGAGUCCUUAUCGACAAAAAAGUUUGCGACCUCGAUGUUGAAUUAAAAAUUUCUUUAUGGUGAAGCAGUCAUAUAAGAGGGUCUGUUCGACCUU
rnacentral:rRNA from 1 species